rnacentral:rRNA from 1 species
GAUGAACGCUAGCGGCAGGCUUAACACAUGCAAGUCGAGGGGCAGCAUGAUAGGUAGCAAUACUUAUUGAUGGCGACCGGCGCAAGGGUGCGUAACGCGUGAGUAACAUGCCCGUAUCAGGAGGAUAACCCGGAGAAAUCCGGACUAAUACUGCAUAAUAUCGAUUUGAGGCAUCUUAGAUUGAUUAAAGUUUCGACGGAUACGGAUUGGCUCGCGUGACAUUAGCUAGAUGGUAAGGUAACGGCUUACCAUGGCGACGAUGUCUAGGGGUUCUGAGAGGAAGGUCCCCACACUGGAACUGAGACACGGUCCAG